rnacentral:rRNA from 1 species
GCCUAAAGCGUCCGUAGCCUGCUCUGUAAGUUUCCGGUUAAAUCCAUUAGCUUAACUGAUGGGCCGCCGAAAAAACUGCAAAGCUAGGGAGUGGGAGAGGUAGACGGUACUCGGUAGGAAGGGGUAAAAUCCUUUGAUCUAUCGAUGACCACCAGUGGCGAAGGCGGUCUACCAGAACACGUUCGACGGUGAGGGAUGAAAGCUGGGGGAGCAAACCGGAUUAGAUACCCGGGUAGUCCCAGCUGUAAACGAUGCAGACUCGGUGAUGCCCUGGCUUGUGGCCAGUGCAGUGCCGCAGGGAAGCCGUUAAGUUUGCCGCCUGGGAAGUACGUACGCAAGUAUGAAACUUAAAGGAAUUGGCGGGGGAGCACCACAAGGGGUGAAGCCUGCGGUUCAAUUGGAGUCAACGCCAGAAAUCUUACCCGAAGAGACAGCAGAAUGAAGGUCAAGCUGGAGACUUUACCAGACAAGCUGAGAAGUGGUGCAUGGCCGUCGCCAGCUCGUGCCGUGAGAUGUCCUGUUAAGUCAGGUAACGAGCGAGAUCCCUGCCUCUAGUUGCCACCAUUACUCUCAGGAGUAGUGGGGCGAAUUAGCGGGACCGCCGCAGUUAAUGCGGAGGAAGGAAGGGGCCACGGCAGGUCAGUAUGCCCCGAA